rnacentral:sRNA from 2 species
GUCGCGCAAGCGCCGAAGGCAGGAGUGGGGGACCCAAGGUAAGUGCCGGUCCCGGCCGUUGAGAGACGGCCGACGAACGGCUUGGGGUGAAGCCGCGUGCUAGGACACGCGGCCGGGCAACUUUCCGGCCCGAACCCGACAGCUCACCUCACAGGCGUCGGUGAGGAGAAUC